ACAGCAUCAGCUCUGCUCUCAUUCUUGCCGAGACUCUCGAAUCGUCAAUCAGCUCUCGCAUCUGUUCUUCGACCUAUAUCACGUUCAUUAUCGCUCGUCCACCGAAUGAACCUCGGCAUCAAAUCUGCUCUGAUAUACAUUCAACUUCGGCCUCUCUCUUCUCCUCAUAAUCGAAUUCACUACAUUCAGAUGGCAGGUAAGCAGAACCAGAAUACAGUUGAAUAUGGCCCUGCUAAUCAGGAGAAAACUAAUGAUCAUGUUAUCGAUGGAAAACAUCGGUGUCCAUACGUUUGCUUUUCUUCCCAACUAGCCGAUUCCCAAGCUUGACUCUAAUAAGUGAAAUGGAUUUGUGAAGCGGGGUUCUUUCAAGGGGAAGUAAACUAAUAAAGUGGAGGACAAGGAAAAUAUGUUGAGGUUGAUGGUAGCGACAAGUCAAAGAAGAGGGGCGGAACUGGAUUUCAGGUUGGGAAGAGAAAAGUGAAGACUAAACUGACGGCUGUAGCUAAAGCUAAAGCUGCACAGGCAAUGUAGCUUGACAAAUGAAGUUUGAGUAGUUUAUGAUAAUACGUUUAGCUUCACGAGUCUUAAAGUUGUUCUGCGGUUGAAUAUUUAUUCCAGUUUUUUAGUAGUUUAUGAUAAUACGGCUGAGAUUAAUUGUAUAGCAGCUUUCUGUCUCGCAGUUUUC